rnacentral:lncRNA from 1 species
AGGACACUGAGAAGGGCAUCCUGGCCUGGGCAGGGGGCACAGUCCAGCUGCCUGCCCGUGCCCUCUUGGAGGACACACUGUCCCUCAUGGCAACUCCUGUCAGGACACAGAAACUCAAGUUCACAGAUGCAAAGACCAGGGCUAGGGGUGGCUGCUGGGGCCUGGUCUGUCCAUGUCCAGCAGGGCCACUGCACUGCAUGCUGCGAGGGGACUUCCUGUGGCUGAAGCACACGUCUGUGUGUCUGCAAUGGAAGAGGUCUUCGCUCCAGCCCCGCCUGAUCCCCCCACCGGAACCCCCAAUGCACCUGCGGCUCCCUCUCUCCUGGACACGUGGGCUUUCCUACGAGGGCUUCUAUUCAUUUAAAAUUUAGGAAGUGGUGCAGGGAGGGGGGGUUGGCUUUUCAAGCCUGCAACGUCCUGAGAGCCUUUCACUGCAGCCCAGUGACCAGGAGCAAUGGCAGCAGGGCCACCAAGGCCUCAGGUAGAGCCCAUGGAUGCUGCCUGAAGCUCUGCUCUGGUGCCAGCUCACGCGCCCUCCCCUCCUGCCUUUCUGGGGGUGGGAGGCAUUUUAGGCUGGCUUUCUACCCCUGUCCUUCUGUGACCUUGGUGGGGAGGUGGCUUCUGAAUGACAUGCUCCCUGGGAGGACAUGCCACCUUCAGUCUGAGAUAGGGGCUUCGGUUGUCCUGCGAGAGAAGAAGAAUGCAGAGGGUUCAUCUGACUCAGUGUCUUUGAAACUCGGAGCCCAGCAGCAACAUCCACUCUGAAUAAUGCAGGGCUUCUAAUUAAUGCUGUUAAUCUCAUAAAUCCAUGUGGCACCUUCCCAAGGAGACUGCUCAGUGUCCUACCUGGGGCUCAGAUGGCCUCAGUCUGCAUUCUGGCUCUGCUGUGCCCUGGUUGCGUGACCAGCUAGCCACUUGAACUGUCAGAUUCCAGCAUCCCUGGCUGGCAAUGCCUGGUACUGAUGAGGUAAAGGUCACCGGGAAACUCUGGCUCCUCCCAGGUGUCCAGGGAGCCCUAGUCUGGCCUGCCGUCUUACAGCUCCUGCCUGGGUGGCUCGGAGCCCAUAGAGCAAGGGUGUGUGGUGGCCUCAGCCUGGCCUCUCCUGCACUCCUCUGUUCCCAGUUAGGAGAGACCACAGGCAGUGAGGAAGGAGCUGGGUCCCCAGUGUUCCCUUCCAGCCCCUCAUCCCAAUAAGCAGGUGGGGUGGAGAGGGGACAAGGUUCCCACGGCCUGUCCCGCUCCAUCACUGUCUGGGUCUGAGCCACGUGUCCAGUGGCCCCAUUCUUCCCUCUCCUUGCUGAGCCGGUCUGUCUGGGAGACUCGGGUGGUGUGCCUGGGGCCUUCAAGCCCUCUUCUCCAACGUGCAGUGUCCUCCCUCAUACUCAGAGCUCAGAAGCCGGUCCAGCUGGUGUCUGCCACCAGGCCAGAGCAGCCCAGGUCAGGCACCUACUGAAUCCCCCCUGAACCCCUCAGCUUACAAUGUCCCCACCCCCUGGCCCUGGGUGGCUGCCAACCACUGCCUACUGCCCUCCUACACAGCCAACCCUCCCCUGCACCCUCCCUCUGUGCCUUCUAAACACCCUCCUCUCUGCCCAGGGGCAGCACCUAUAAAAUGGGGGAGGAGUCCAGCCUCUCAGGCCUGGGAGGGGCCAGGAUUCCUGCCACUGUGGUGGGAAUCAGGGGACUCUCAGGACACCUGGUCUCCCAGGGAGCACGGGGCUGGAGAUGGUGGUGUCCGAAGAAUUCAGGGACCAAGUCUGGUCUAUUUGGCAGUGAAGUCAGAAGUGGCUCCCAGGACAGUAGCAAGGAGAAGGGGUCACUCCGGGGUGGCGAGGGGCAGUUAAGGGUGACAGGAGGUUUCCCUCUUACCCAAGAAGGGUCCCCGGCUCCCUUCCCAGGACUGCAGAUGGCAGGUUCUCCAGGCAGAUGGACUUAGGGGAGGGCCAUUUUGAAACCUUGUGAAGAGAGGGGACGACCCGUGGGGGGAGCCACCCUGCACGCUCCUGGCAGUUGCAGAAGAGGGGACGUAGGAGGGCCAGAGAGGCACCUACGUGGUCACUCAUUUUCUGUGACUCUGAGCUGCCAUGUCACUUUUCUUUUCCUCAGUCCUCGUGCAGGGGGACUCAUGUCCUGGCCAACUAGGAAGACGAAAGACCUGCCUUCUCCAGGGCUUGAUGGCCACACAGCUCGCUACCUGUCCCCCUCUGUCCCUGGACAAGCUAGCUCGGCCCCUGGCUCUGAGGUUCUCUGUCCAGCGGAGGGUGGUGUGGACAGGAGGUCCCAGGGCUUCCUCCAGUCCUGACAUCCCAGGACCCUCCCACUGGCCUUUCUGCCGUCCAUGCUCAGGGGAGCGCUGGACCUCCCCAACAUGAACUACAGGAGGCUGGGCCCACCUCAGCCUCCUCCUCAGCAAAAUGGACUGUGGUCUGUUGCCACCAUGUGCAGGUGGUUCUGUGUUCUCUGUGACAGGCCACCCCUCCCACCACAGCUGUCCCCUCUCCUCCUGACCACUGGAGCAGGGUUCCUGGGAAGGAGGGGAGCCUGGAUGCAGCUGCCCUGACCAACCCCUUCACUGUCACCUCUGUCCUGAAGGGGCCCGGGCUCUCCCCCUCUGUACUAUUGUACCCCUGUGACUCCUGUGACCCUAGGAAUAGAACCCAGUGCAGUGGCCUGGCCUCUCUGAAGCACUGACCAUGAGGCUGGAAAGGAACCCAGGUGCUGGGCCCCAGCGGUGGCUUUGGGCCCUCAGGGCCUGUGUCGAGGUGGAGGCUCCAGCCGCCAGGAGUCCCUACCUGAGUGGACUCCCACGUGUCGGCUUUCCUGUGUCCCUGGGUGUGCUGGCUCUUGUCUCCCCAUAGAUGCUGGUGAGGGGUACGAUCUCCCUGUGGCUCUUCCUGCUGCAGCUGGAGCAACCAUCAGCCAACAGGUCCUCACUGGACAGAGCCCAGCGUCAGCGUCUGGACUAGGGACACUGCCACUCCUGCUGCCGCAAGCCCAGGGCCUGUCAGUCCUUAGAAGCAGUCACAGCCAGGGGACUGUUGGCCUAGCCGCUGCUGGCCAGAGGCAGGAGCACCCUGCAGGUCGAGAUGGUGCUCGGUGACUUAGUAAUUCUUGUGUUUUGCUUUUUAAAUUGAAGUUUGAAGGAGUGAGAGUUUGAUGUUUUUCUGUGAUUAUUUUUUAUUUAAUUCUUUCUCUGGAUCAUAAAGUGAAAGUAUUUAAAUUCAUAUUUUAGGAGACAAAAGAAGCUUAACAUCUUUCAUCCACUUUCAGCAUUUUUGCUAAUUUUUUUUAAAAACAAAAUAUUUUGUUCUGGCAUCCUGAAGGGUGCAAUUUCAUGAGUCAGGAGAAUAAAUAACAGAUAAAAAUAAACCUAGUUCUCAGCAAAGGUGAGGUGAGUUCCCCAUGAUGGAGGCGUCAGGCACAGAUGCGACCCACAGCCUCAGCACAGCCCCACAGAGCUGGAGGGGCUGUCCCAGACCCUCAGGGACACCCCGGCACCUGCCACCUGAAGGGGACCUGCAGCCCUGUGCCAUCCCACCUUAUGGCCUCAGGUGCUCAGCUUGUGUGUGAGGGUCUUCCUUUGGGAGUUCAGGCACCCAGGGCCCCAGAGCCCCAGUCAUGGAGAUGACAUGGCGAAGCCAGUGAUCUUGAUGAUGACAACUUCUUGAUUGUCACCAUGGAUGUGUCAGGCGGGUGAUCAGCACUUUGCAUGCAUUACCUGAUCCCAUCCUCCUCCCGCAGCUUUAUGGAGUUAUGAUUGACAAAAAUUAUAUACACUUAGGCUGCACACGGGGUGUUGGGGUACAUGUAUACAUCGCGGAGUGAACUGCACCAUCAAGCUAAUUAGCAUAUCCAUCACCCCACUCUAGGUCUUUUCCCUUGUUUAUGAGAACACCCAACGACCUACUCCCUUGGCAACUUUGGGGUGCAGGAUGCAGGUGAACUGCAGUCCCCACCCAUGCGUUGGAGCCCAGAACUUACUCAUGCGCUUAACAGAAGCUUCACGCCCUCUGAUCCACGUCUCCCGUGCUUUCGAGGUUAGCUUGCCUCUCUGAUAGAGAAAAGUGACACCUCUGCUGUGGUGUCACUGGGACAGCCGAGGAGGUGCUCACAAACCUUCCUCAGGAGCGAAGGUGCAGUCAGCGGCAGCAGUCACCCUGGGAGCACCGGGUCACACCCUCUGCAGGUGUCCUGGAAAGACCCCUUGAGCCUGAUUGUCAGGAGACAGCCCAGGAGGUGGCUCUGGGGGCCACCUGAAAGGGACAGAGGGAGGUCACAGUAACUCUAGUCCCCCAGGAGCCCCAGAAGCACAUGUUGUCCUUCCCACAUCCAAGUCCAAGGCAUCUGUAUUCAAAAUUAGGACAAGCUCACAACCUUCCGGACUUCCACAGGCAGGACUCUGAUUUAAGGCUGAGCAGUGAUCAGGAGAGGGCACUUCUAGGGUCCAGAUUAGUGGAGCAAUUGCUGACAGUGGCCAGCAACUCUCCAGGCUGCACCCCUGCCCAGUGCCAUCCUCAGGCGUGUGGCAGGAAGGGGGAUUUCCACACUCAUGUCACAUUUCUGAGGUCGUCACAGGGUUGGGUGCCUUGGACCAACUGUAACCCUAACCCUAAUCCUCCCAGCACAAAAGUGCUGCAAUGCGGGUCAGACCUGGGGCUCCUUGGGCCUCUGCCCAGGGCGGGUGGUGCCCUGGGACAGGGUUCGGUCCUGAUAGCUCCUCACCCGCUUCCUGCAGAGAACACACGGCCCAGUCCCACCUCCCUGGGUCCUGCCUCCCUGGGUGACCUGCUCAGCUCAGCCUUGCCCACAGGGCAGAGGCCAGGCCUAACAGAUGCCCGGCACUUGGCUGCACCUCCCCUACAGGGCUGCCACCCUGCUGCUGCCCCUGGUGGCCCUGGCUGGCUGGGAGGGGGUGUGUGCCUCUCUCUGGCUGCUUGCUGGGGUGUUUGUCCUCCCCUGAGUAUUGAUUGGGAUUCUAAAGAGCCUGAUGUUGGGGCUGGUCAGGGCCCCCUGGCCCACAGUGGGGUGAUCACAGUAAUGGGCAGGAACCCCUACUGGCACAGGGUGUUAGGCUGACGUGGUCACCACAGACACGUCCAAGGGAGACUUUCUGAACAGGUGCCAGUCUGUCUUUGGGCACUUUAAUUACAGCUCCAAGUUUGGCAGGGGAGUUGUUACUACUGACUUAGUCCCGCUCUGGUAGCUCUGGAUGGGCUGAGGCUGCCCUGGACAGGAGGUGGAUUUUGUGGGGUCAUUUGAGCUGGGUCCUGGGUCUGUGACUGGGUGACACCAUCUCAUUCUGCUGCCUGGCUGGGACCCAGUUUUCUAAUGACAAAGAGGGAGACCUCAUCUUGUUUAUCCACUUAGUGAUUCCAAAACCUCUGGGGACUUGUAUGUGUCUAAAAGUGGGGACCCCGGGCCUCCAGGGCUUCAGGAUUCCAGGGGAACUCGGGGCAAGAAGGAGGCUGCGGAUGGAGGGCACCCAGGCUGACUGGGGGCGUGGGAGGGGCGGGGCGGGGGGCGAGGCAGGUUCUAUGAGGUUCAGGCCCCACAGCCCCCAUCAGGGCAGCCCACGCCUGCCAGCACCUGAGCCGAGCAAGCCCAAAAUAGAAAGAACCAAAUAAGGUAAAGCCGCGCCUCACCUUAGAACUGCCUGCAGAUCAGCCGCUCAUGCAGCCUGCGCUGCUGUCAAGUGACAGCGGGCAGACGUCUACUGAGGAGCCCCGAGCAGGUGGUCCACUCAGCCCAGCCCACCCCAGGGCCAGCUGGGGCAUCUGUACAGGCGAAGGGAUCCAGCAUGGCCAAGCAGUGGACUGGGCCCAGUGAUGAGCACUUGGGACUGCAGAGUGCUGGGUGGAAUUGUAGGGUCCCCAGCUCGACCAGGGACUGGGGGGGUCAGCUCUGCAGACCCAGGGGGCAGAGCAUGCAGGCCAGCAUUGAGGGCCCACAUGAGAUGGAUCUGGAAGGCAGAGAUUUGAGGACCCUCAGGAUGAAUUCCACAGCACGGUCUGUGACUGUGAUGGACACCUGGCCCCAAGAGAGGCCAUGUCUGACAGGGCCUCGGGCACUGCAGGGCUGCGUCCCCACGGCCUGUCUGACAAGAGCUUGGUCCCCACACCCUCCCCAGACCACAUCCCAAGUCAGUUCUGCUGAGACCAGAGGCUUCACUUUCCCCCUGUGGGAGAUGAAGGAGCUGCGUCUCCUCCUGACCCAGCUGUGGAAAGUCACAGGGAAACAGGGAAGGGUGGGGUCAAACCCAUGCGUCCCUCCGAACGUACCUCAGGCCACAUCGGGAGGCCGUCAGACUCAGAUUGUGCUCAAGCCAAACAGGUAAGCCCUGGUACAGGUAAGCCCUGACACAAGUAAGCCAUGGCACAGGUAAGCCAUGGCACAGGUAAGCUCUGGCAGAGGUAAGCCAUGGCACAGGUAAACCCUGAUACAGGUAAGCUGUGGUACAGGUAAGCUGUGGCAAAGGUUAAGCCAGGGCACAGGUAAGCCCUGGCAGAGGUAAGCCCUGGCACAGGUAAGCUUCGGCACAGGUAAGCCCCAGCACAGGUAAGCCCUGGUACAGGUAAGCCCCACUGUUGUCCGCAGAGGAAGGGAGGGAGUUGGACCAAAUGCUCAGCCCUGAUGUCAGACCUAGGGUGGGAGGAGUUGGGAAGCCACAUGGCUGGGUGUCAGCUGGGGCUGAAUGUGGCCUGGAGGGGGCCCCUCCUCUCUGAGGAAAGCCCACCACCCUGCAGACCCCAGGGCCAGGUGGGGUAGUUGCUGUUUGGGGUGGGGGUGCCUGAAGGAGGCACCCCCACAGAGCUUCAGCCUUCCUGAUGGCCGACCACGGGGCUGCAGCACCUGGUCUAUGUGCCAAGCUCUGAGCAGGCCUGUCCCUCUCAAUGGUGUCCACAGCCUCUUCAUUACCCAUGGGGGCCUGUGACGCUAGCAAGCAGAGAGGCCGUGUGUGGCUCCCGGGCCUGCGGUUCCUCCCCACCAGGCCACUCUUCCCCCCCUUUUCCUCUCCCCUGCCUUCUCCCCCACUGACCCAGCUCCUGGUCCAGCCUCCUCCUGUCCCAUCUCCUCCCCCGCCCUUACCUCACUGUCCCUCCCCUGCCCCUCACCCAGCCCCCAGCCCCUGUCUCCUCCAUCCCUGGCCCUCCCUCACCUUCUCUCCUGUCCACUUGAGCUGUGACCACUGCAGGGGGCCUGGAGCCCUGGGCCCAGUGUCAGCUGCACCCCCUUUUUGUCUCUGUUGGAAACAGGACCAUCACUCCCUUCCAUACCCAGAGCUGGCCAGUGAGCACGGGUGUCACCUGUGGAACUCACGGCAAGGCCACAGGAUGGUCACAGAGCAGGGACCAAGCCAUCAUCCUCAUCCUGCCUUGGCCACCAACCCAUCCAUCUGCCACACACCAGGACCUCUGAAGCAGCGGAGCAGUGGGCCAGGCGCCUGGCACCACAUGCAAGCAGAACUAUCCCAUUCUCAUCCUCUGGUCAGGGACGGGGCACUCCCAGAAGCCAUGUCCACCAGCCCUGGCAGAGGCGGCGCAGCUGAGCAGAUGCAGAGUGUCAAGUCACAGCAGGUCACUCAGAGCCCUGGGGGCCAGGACCCUCGCUACACCGCCCCCGACAGGCCUGGGCUCUUCCUCCUCUGCCAUGGCUGCUCCCCCAGCCAGCUGCCCUGCCCUGCCCUGCACAUCAGUGUCCGCUUCCUCCAGACAGUGCCAGGCCACAAGAGCACCUGUCAGAGCGGCUUCCCAGGGAAUCAGGAUGGUGUCCUUAGCAGCCAUGGGGCUCCCUCCCGACUUCAGAAUGGACAGUGCCCGCCACCAGCCAGCCAAACACAGGCCAGAACAAGCAGAGCUCUGGGCAGCUUGUUUUCCACCUAUUAACACUAAUCUGUUUUUCUUCUGCAUUUCCAAAUUCCUCCCUUCAGGUCUCAGACACAGUAUGCACAGCCAGAUGAGACCGGCUUAGUCCCGGCUUUGCCGCUUAUGAACAGUGUGACCCUGGGAAGCGCUGACAACCCUCCUGACCAUGACUGCUUNUGGGUAUUGAUCGGGAUUCUAAAGAGCCUGAGGUUGGGACUGGUCAGGGCCUCCUGGCCCACAAUGGGGUGAUCACAGUAAUGGGCAGGAACCCCUACUGGCACAGGGUGUUAGGCUGACGUGGUCACCACAGACACGUCCAAGGGAGACUUUCUGAACAGGUGCCAGUCUGUCUUUGGGCACUUUAAUUACAGCUCCAAGUUUGGCAGGGGAGUUGUUACUACUGACUUAGUCCCGCUCUGGUAGCUCUGGAUGGGCUGAGGCUGCCCUGGACAGGAGGUGGAUUUUGUGGGGUCAUUUGAGCUGGGUCCUGGGUCUGUGACUGGGUGACACCAUCUCAUUCUGCUGCCUGGCUGGGACCCAGUUUUCUAAUGACAAAGAGGGAGACCUCAUCUUGUUUAUCCACUUAGUGAUUCCAAAACCUCUGGGGACUUGUAUGUGUCUAAAAGUGGGGACCCCGGGCCUCCAGGGCUUCAGGAUUCCAGGGGAACUCGGGGCAAGAAGGAGGCUGCGGAUGGAGGGCACCCAGG